AUUGAAUGCUGGCGGCAGGCCUAACACAUGCAAGUCGAGCGGAUGAAGGGAGCUUGCUCCUGGAUUCAGCGGCGGACGGGUGAGUAAUGCCUAGGAAUCUGCCUGGUAGUGGGGGAUAACGUCCGGAAACGGGCGCUAAUACCGCAUACGUCCUGAGGGAGAAAGUGGGGGAUCUUCGGACCUCACGCUAUCAGAUGAGCCUAGGUCGGAUUAGCUAGUUGGUGGGGUAAAGGCCUACCAAGGCGACGAUCCGUAACUGGUCUGAGAGGAUGAUCAGUCACACUGGAACUGAGACACGGUCCAGACUCCUACGGGAGGCAGCAGUGGGGAAUAUUGGACAAUGGGCGAAAGCCUGAUCCAGCCAGGCCGCGUGUGUGAAGAAGGUCUUCGGAUUGUAAAGCACUUUAAGUUGGGAGGAAGGGCAGUAAGUUAAUACCUUGCUGUUUUGACGUUACCAACAGAAUAAGCACCGGCUAACUUCGUG
rnacentral:rRNA from 1 species